rnacentral:lncRNA from 1 species
AUCAGUCUUGGAUUGACUCUUCUUCUUUCCUGAAAGAGACGAGCCCUUGGCUUUCUUUGAGAAUGUUUCAUCUGAGGUUCACAUAUCUGAUUCUGCUGAUGAGAUCUUAAAUUUCUUGGAAGGCUGUUCAUCACAUGAAUUGGAUAAUCUAUUGGAAGAAGAGUUUACUUCAGCACUAUCACCUUCAGCCAAUAAUGUAGAAAGUGAGGAAGGUGUUUUCAACUGCUUUUCAACAGACAUUUCCCUCCUAUGUUCUCUAAAAGAUGCAUUACUGUCGCCAUUUUCUGUUGCGUGCAGGAACUGGGAGAUAUUCCCAACCGCUUCUCUCCAGAAGAGCCCCUUUCAUCCAUAUCCAAUCUUGUAAUAGAGACAUCAGGGCAACCAUUUUUAGUAGCCUGGCUAAUUUUCAGAGAUCUUCUUAACUGCUUCAAUGGAAAGCCCUGAGUUAAGAUCUUGAAAUUUUCUCAAAGACCCAUUACCGCCACAAUGUUCAGUCCCUGCAACAAAUCUAGGAGACUUUCUCCUCUGUUUUUCAUCAGAAAAGUUUGGGUCAUUGCGCUUUGAAAGAACAGCGUCUUUAUCCGUUCCAGAAGGUCUUGUUUCAGAGUAGGAACUAGGAACCAUUCUCAGAGGAUUUAAAGAUAGUUUUUGAAGAACAACCUUUGGUUUCAGGCGGGGCUGAACUCAAUCUUGGAGAUCUCCUUAAGCCCAUUCCAUUGAUUCUAUCAAUAUUCAUGAUUUUAGCAUCUUUAUUUCCACUGCCGCAGAAGAAAGAAAAGCAAUCAAAAUUGCAUUAACAAUGACGCCAGAAGAAAAAAAAUUUAAAAUGUGAGGAACACACAAUGUAGAGCAAGAUUGAGCAUGUGCGUAAUAUUAGUAAAAUGCAGCUUCUCACUUUGACUUGAAGCUUUGGCUCUGCAUAACCCAUGAACAAGAAUCCACACAAAUGAAACUACCACUAAAAAAGCGUUCAUCAUUCACUUGUAAAACAUUUGAAAAACCCACCCAGAAAGAUAGCAGCUGAUAAUCAAAGCAAUCUAUAAGUAGAAUAAAGAAGCAAUGUAUUUUGUCAUUUACAUUGACCAAAAACAACUACAAUGGAAACCUCACUUACAAGUGUAACCGUCUUUCAAAAACAGGAAAAUGGUAAAAGCGUGGAAUCUGACAUCACUGCGCGCUCCGGCUCGCGGAAGAUAAAAAAAGUUAGUUGUAUUUGUUAGGCUAAACUACUAAAUAGUCAUUUUUAUUUGUAUCAAGUUACAUUUUAGUCACUUAUGUUUGAAAUGUUACGAUUUAGUCAUUUACGUUAUUGUGGUGUAACAUUUCAAUCACUAAGCGUUAAUUUUCAUUAAUAGUGUAACGGUAAGCUGACGUGGCAUGUUAAAUCAUCAUUUCAAAUAAAAAUUUUAGGUUAAAUUAUACAAUUGGUCCCUAUAUUUUUUUUCGUUUUGAGCAAUUUAACUUUUUCUUUUUAUUUAUUUAUUUCCCUUUUCUUCUUCUCCUUUAUUUUUCUCUCUUCUCAUAUUCUCCACUACAAAAAUAUAAUCUUUGCCCACCAAAUAAACCAAGUCUUUGUUUUUUUCACAUGAUUCUUAAUUUGAAUUUCACUCAAAAUCGAAUAUCAAUCAUUCUUAAUCAAAUCUCAAUUUGAUUAUAACCUAAUUUUGAAAGUAAAACUGGAUCUAACUAAUUAAUAUAAAAAAAUCAUAUCAUUAAUCAAAUCUAAAGAUAAAUUGAAAUCUUUAUAUCCAAAAUAUUUUUUUUCCAUUUCAAACUUCUACGGAAUUGUGUAGGUUAUUCAUUCUCUUUUAUUUUAUUUUCUAACAAGUAAAAUUAAGAAACUAUAAAAUUGAUCUAAACUUUUUUGGAUAUUCCCAAACAAGCUUGAUUGAAAACUGAGCAUGGAUAAACUAAAGAAAGAAAGAGAUUAUGGAUCCAAACUGGUUUGGAUAAAGUUGAGGAUAAGUUUCGAAUGAUGGUCGUUUUAGUCUUUGAGAAUGUAGAGCUCAUUUGAGGAAUCCGUGAAACAACGUAGUUUUGAGAGGGCGAGAAUGUUGUAGGUAACAUAGUUAUGGUGGUUGUAGGGGUUGGUUAGGAGGUUAAAGGAACGGGCUCGAGAAACUUUGUUGAGGGUGGACUACCAAAAGUCACGACUGGCGAGGUCUUCGAGUGAGGCAAGCUUGCAAACUAGGUCAUUGAGAGAUCCAAAUUGGUUUGUUAAAGCGAUGAUAGACGAUGAGGGUUUGUAAUUGUGGGGUGAGAAUAUGCGAAGUUUUAUUUUGGUUUCAGCUUUCUGCUUCUCUUUUUUCAUAAAUAUAAAAAAGUUUUAAGGAAAAAAAAGGGAGAAUGAAAAAAAAAGUUAAAAGAACAUAAAAGAAAAAUUAAAUUGUUCAAAACGAAAAAAAUAUGGGGACUAAUUGUAUAAUUUAACCUAAAAUUUUCAUUUGAAAUGAUGAUUGAACAUGACACGUUAGUUUACCGUUAUACCGUUAAGAACAAUUAUCGGCUAAAUGACAAAAAUGUUACAAUACGUUAAUGUAAAUGACUAAAACAUAAUAUUUCAAAUAUAAGUGACUAAAGUGUAACAUGAAAUAAAAAAAAAAUGAGUAUUUUGAUAGUUUACUUAUUUGUCUUGCUUUUCUUGAUAUAAUAAAAUGAUUGUAUUGUAUAAUAAUUAAAUAAAGAACUAAAAUGAUGGUAUUGUUAUUCAAUAUGUGGUUAUCGGUGUAAUUGAUGGGUGGAGCUUCGAUUCUUUUAAAUUUGAGAUAUAAUUCUUUUAUUAUUUUUAUAUUUAAGUUCAAGUUUAGACUUGUAAUAUAGUUUAAUAAUAUAAAAAUAUAAAAUUUUAAUAAAAUUUACGAAUUUUUAUGUUAAAUAUUAUUAAAUGUGAAUUAGAUUUGAUUUACAAUUAAAGUUAUUUGAGUUCGAGUUUAAUUUAAUAAUUAUCGAAUUAAAUUUAAAUUAUUUUUUUUUAUUGUUAAACUCAAAUAGCUUGAGAGCAUAUCUUAUUUAUGGUAUUGUUGAGGUUGUGUGAGAUGGGAUUUAUCAGAUCCUACAAUUAUGAAAAGCAUAGAUGAGAUAAAGCAAGCACUGUAAAUAUUAUAUGUAUAUAUGUGUAUAAGAUACGAAUACGUUACAUUUAAAACAUAUUAUUAUAUGUUUAAUAGAGAACCCUAGUAGCAGUGGCACGGGUGCCAUUAUCCCUUCGGCUUCUAGCAUUCUUUGUAAAUGCAAGGAAAAACUUAAGUCCUGCUUAUUCUAAUGAAAAAGAUUGAUCCUUUGGCUUAUUUUUUCUCACUUAAAUGUAACUCCUUAAGCCCUAAAUUAAGAUUUCUUUACAUAAUUGGAAAAUGACAACAAAUUUGGCUACCAAUACAAAAUUAACUUCAAUCAUAACAUCAAAAAUACCAUAAACUCCAUUUCAUUCCUUUACCAGCAAAACAUUUCACAAAACAUGAAACUAUUAGAAAAUAGGACCUGUGAGAAAUGAAACCAUUUCAUUACAUUUGAGAGACUACAGUAGAGGCUGCAAGCUUUGGCAGGUCAAGGAUACAAAGAUGCAAGCAUAAGAGCUUUUGCAUGAAAACUUUAUGUCAGAGAUACACAUUAUGAAUGGUGCAGUGCAAGCAUGCAUAUAAAGUUAAGAAAUCAGUUUUGGUUCAAUCAUCAGUGCUUUGGGACAAUGAUUUUGCUAACUGGAUAUUGGUGGAAAGAGAAAACUUAGGAGGGAGGAUCAUCAGUGGUUCAUUCCCGCUCCCUUUCUGAAAUGCCAUCCCCAUUGUGUAUCCCAAGGCUCGACCAACCGGAAUUGCAACCGCAUUCCCAAUUUGACAAUACCUAUGAAACACAGAAAACAUAUAAUCUUAAAAGGAGAUCACUAGAGUUAAUUUCUUCAGAUCUCCACAAUUUAAAAAUCCUACCAAAAUAAUAUUUAGAACCAAAGUAUCAUACCUAUCUUUAAUUGUCCCGCAGAAUCUAUAAUAAUCAGGAAAACCUUGUAAUCUUGCACAUUCCCGGACUGUGAGAACUCGGUCUUGCUCUGGAUGUAAUAUUACCUAUACAAGUCCAAAAACUCACAUGCAAUCCAAGAACUAGUAAUUUUGUAAUCUUCCAAACUAAACUAGUUUAAGGUGAAACCUGGCUAUGACAAUAAGGAUAAGUUACAACAGUCGGCACAGUCUCAUCCCACCAUAAUCUUGCAAAUGGUCUGCACAUAUAUUGAUAACAUUAGUUCCUUCUUUUCCCCUCUUUUUCUAUUUUAGAGGAUGAGGAUGUUGUUGAAAUCAGAAAAGCUGCCAAAAAUAUCAAACCUUUUAGAUUUUCCUUGUUCAAAGGUAAAUACAUAUUCUGGAACCUAAGCAAUUGAAAAAGAAUUAACAUCAGCAAUCAAUUUUUCCAUUUAGAUAUACACUCAACCCUCUCUAUAACAGCCCCAUUUAUCUACUUAGAUUUUACCGAUUAUAGAGAGGUGGUAACAGCAUGCUGUUAUAGAGAUAUAAUCGCUGUAAGCUUACCAUAGAAAUUAUCGUGAAUUUUCAUCAAAUAAAGAAAGUGAGAAUUAUGUUCAAAAAAUAAAAAAAGUGAGGAUCAAAUCAACAAAAUUAAAAGGCGUAUAUCAAGUACAUGUAUUAUUGCUUUUAUGCAUCUUUUAUUUUACAUUCUUUCACAUGAUUAAUUAUAAAGUUUAUAAAUCUAACAAGUUCAAUUAAUCAAUAUGAGCUAUCAAAUUAAAUUAGUUAAUUUAUCAGGAGUUACUAAAUUCAAGCAGUCAAUUUAUAAGUUUAUGAUGUUCCAAAUUCAUAGUAGAAUAUUUAAUUAGGGAACUUCUAGUUUCUUAUAUUGAUAUUUUUAGUUCCACCCAUUAAAUAUUAUUUUCAUUUAAUAAAAUAUGAUUAAUAGAUUUCUUCAUGUGAAAUUUAAUCAUUUUAUUGAAAUAAUAUUAUAAUUAAUAUCAUUUUCAUUUAAUAUGUGAUAAUUAAUAGGCUUGCUUAUAUGAAACAACUAUAAUUUUAUUUCAAAAUUUAGACCAUAUGCUGUUAUAGAGAACUAAUUUAAUAAAUAACGUACUUCAUAACUAUAGAUGUUGUUGUUAUAAGUGAAAAACUGUUAUAGAGGGUUAAAAUAAAACAUAAAAAAUCGGUUCUUCUAGAAACUUGGUUGUUAUAGCAAAAUCUUGUUAUAGCAGAUGGCUGUUAUAGACAGAACCGACUGUAGCAUUUCAGUGUAGAGACAAUGCAUUGUCGUUACAUUCCCUUUCUGCACUAGAUUUAUUUACAUGCUUUCCUAUUAAAGAGAUAUAACUUAGAGACAGUAGUUGUUUCGUCAAGUUUGCAAAGGAAAAUGAAGAUGAAAAAGAAGCGCCAUCAAAGAAAAUGUCCUAUAUGUUGCGAUGCAGUCAUAUGUAGCAGUUUCCAGCUCUACUUUUAUCUACAAUACUCAUCAAGGUACAAACUCAAACAAGCAUGCAUUUACAUAUGAAUAUGCAGUAUACAGAAGAAGAUGAUGUACUGUUGCUCUGGUGAGAAAGGAAGAAACUCACCAAUGGUUUUCCAGAAGGUAAAAACUGCUUUUCCCGUGUUGGAUCCCUCCGAGCCACAUUGUCUGCUCCAACAAUUACACCAGGGAGGUCUCGAAAAUUUGCCCCCUACAAACACUUCUAAAUUAGAAAGAAGUAUCUGGCCAAAAAGAAAAUUAGAAAGAAAUCAGAAGGGCAAAACAGCGGCAAUGUCAACUGAGUUAUAGAACCUUUCUCUUUGGAAUCAGACAGACUCUAGUAUAAUCAUCCUCAGAUAACGGAGCAGGCCGAUGGUCAUACAAUAGGUUCUUUAUUCUUGUGGCACCAUCUAAUGCAGAACCAGUCAUCACUGCAAAGCCAGGAAAAAGGAAAAAUAUAAAUGGAAGACAAAAUUAGAGGAAACAAUACAAAGGGUCUAUGCUCCCUCUCUUUUGUGAUACUCAUACAUGUGACUAAAAUACAUUGGUUCACUCAGAGGCAAAACAGGAAAAACAUUUAAACAGAAACAGUGCUGGUUUACUAGAUAUGCUGCAUAUGCCCAACUUUGUGACCAUGUUUACUUGAAUUAGUGGUACUAAUUGUAAUUGAUUAUUCUGCUUAGGGAUUCAGAUUUCUUUAGGUUUUUUUUAUACAAAUUCUGCUUAGGGUUUAUUAUUCUGCCCAAUCCUUUAAAUAAGGAUCAGUCUUAUUACAUAAAUAAGAAACUUAAGGAAAGGAUAUCCAUUGUGCAUUCUUAACCAUAAAAUCGUAAUAUAAGGCAAUAAGUUAACUAAAAUAAAUCACAAACAAGAAACCAAAAAAAAUAAGGAAUAAAAUUGUAAUAUAAACCUUAACUAGAGAAUCAAAAUUAAUGAUAUUUCUCCUUUUUGGGUCUGGCACAUAACAUUGUUGCACUCCUAGAGAAAGAGCUUGUCCUUAAGCUCUAAGCCAAGUUAAACUUGGCAAAAGGCACCUUGCUCAAGAGUUAUUGAUCCGCUGAUCAUCAUUAUAAUCAAACCAGGAGCAACUUUUUCAAGUAAACUGACCACUACCUCAGUAUUAUUCCUUCCCAUUACUAACAGUGGAAAUUGGAAAAGACCAUGAAUCUUCAUAAACUUACUCUCAUUUAUAAAUACCACUGAAUAAAGCUUUAUUCAGUAAUAAAAAAAGGAACUAGUAAUUGAGUCUUUAUCAUCUCCAAUAUCCCUUUCACUAGGUAACACAGAUUAAACAAUAGAUGAGUUUACAAGGGAUUAAUGAACAAUCAAUAAUUGGUAUUAUUCUUCUUGUACUAUCUGUCAAUGAUUUUGUUAUUAUAGGAGAUGAUGGUGUAGGAAUAUCUUCUCUCAAGUCUUUUUAGCAGACUAGAUUACAUAUGAAAGACUUAGAUCAAUUGAAAUACUUCUUAGGGGCAGAAGAGAAGUUUUUAUUAACAAGAAGUUUUAUUAAAAGACUUAGAUCAAUAUCAUAUCUAUGCUAUAGCUUCAGGGGGAAUGUUAACAGUAUGUAGUUUUAUUUAGCUAUAGGAUAUAGUUUUUAUUAACAAGUAUGUUAACAGUAGGUGAUUAACGUAAUUACCCAUGAUUAAUGUAACAAACUUGUAGGAUCAAUUAGAAUUCUAUUUCUUUCUUUGUACAUGGAUCUUACGUCAAUAUAAAUACCAUGAUAAUCUGAAGUAAUAGACACAACUUUGGUUAAAUCUUCUCUAUUUUUAACAAUCUAGAAAGGUCAUAAAGAGAGACCAUUGAACAAAUGAUCCAUUAUUUUGGCAUUAGAGAACUACCACUAAAUACUCAAAUAUAUAGAUGAAAAAAGAAGGAAAAAGCCAUAUACCACAAGAAAUUUAGUCAUUAAAUCAGAGAUGAUUCCAAGGGUAAAUGAAAAAAAAUUACCGUAUUUACUAGAUCUUAUAUAUCUUUGAAAGUCCGUUUCAGGAGGCUUUUCAUAUGUCAUUUCUUCGCGAACUUCAUUAUUUGAAACCUACAAAGCAAUUAGCUAAAUUAAAGGAGCAAAGUACCAUAGAAUCUAAGAAGUGGCUACAAUAGUAACAUCAAAUAUGAUAACUACAGGUGGGAGAUCAGAAAUGGCAUCACGGAGAAGAAGAGCGUCUUCAAGUUGACGAGGUUGGCCUUCUUCAUAAGCAACUGUAUUGCGCUGAACAAGACAAAGAAAAUUAUAAGAAUGGAGCAUUGCUGGUAAAAGCAUUCUAAUGGGAAAAACAAACAGCAACAAUAGAAACCUCAAACUCAGGAGGAGGCCAAUAUCUGAUAAUAACAUCAUGAGAAGGAAGUGGAAACUGUGGAAGCUUCUGCAGACACCAAAUUACCACACAACACCCCCACCAAAAACAAAACAAAAAAGAAAAACAGUAAAGGGGCAAUUAGAUCAACAGCAAGACCAAAUCAUUGAACAGAUAGGUGAUAGUACUACUUUAUGGUCAGAGACAGCCAAGGAGUGUUAUAAUUCAAUUUUAUGCAAAAAUCUAGAACACUAACCUCACUAGGAUGUGCUCCCCACAAAAAAACACGCAACCGGAAUUGAGGAAGACCAUAACAACCAGCUGCAAUUAUUCCAAGCCUUGCUUGGUAUUUCAUAUGUACCAACCGACUUAAAGCAUAUCUUCCAAGAGAACCCUUGUCAAGUCUCAAAAUAUCAACCACAUUUUCCAUCAAAACAAACUUAGGUUUUAAGUAUUCAACUAUGUCCAUGAAUACCACUAUUUGACGAUUUCUUUCAUCAUCCAAUGGAGAAUCAACAUUUCUAAAGCGAUUAUAGCCACUUAUCCCUUGGCAUGGAGGGCCACCACAAAUAACAUCAACAUCCCCCUGAUUACAUUAAUCAUUGAAGAGAAGUCACUCAUAACAAAUCUCCAACAAUUAAGAUACCCCAUAUUAAGCAUCCACCAAUGCAUUUGAUUAAGGAAAACUUACACGAAGGGGUAAGAUCUUGGACCUGAAUCCUUUAAUUACAAAUUCCUGAAUACAUUCUUGACAAUUGCUGACAGAUUCAAAUGAGUAAGUAAAUAAUAAGCAAAAUGAAGAAUAGAAUAAUGGCAGUAAUUAUUAUACCUUAAGCCUUCAAUUGGUUCCCACGUAUCAUCACUUGCGCUAUAUCCCUUCCAGCGAACCUAACAAAAGAGCUAUGAGCAUAAGACAUCUCCCCCAAAUUAUGACAUAAAGCAAAAAACGACUAUGAAUAACAGGAGAAUAGAUUGACACAAACAAAAAUCAAUUACAAACAAAAACUCACAAAAGGCAUGAAAGGAACUACCAUCACAUCGUAUAGAUGAAAUAGACCACCUUAAACUUUAGUCCACGGUUGCCUGUGUUGCAGGGAUCACCAUAACAAACAUCAACAAGACAAGAGACCUCGAGUUCAUCAGCAGAGGUAUCAGCAUCUUUUGCAGGGCUUGCAUUCUUCAUGACUGCUUCUGAGGCUCUGAAUCUUGACGGAUAUGUUCUUUCUAAAUUGUCAACUACAUAUCGUUUGCAAAGCUUUUCCCAUUCCUUCAGUAGUCGAAGAAAAUCAUCAGCAGCUUCAUUCCUGACCUAUAUAAGUGAAAGCAAAAACAUCGCUUUAUCUACCUCUAUAGGUUUUGGGGCAUGCCAAAUGGAAGUUGUAAGGCAAUGAUACUCACAUGUGCCUCUGGAUGAUUUAAUUUCAAGCUUUUACUUGCUGACUUAUCACUGUCAACUGCCCAUUUCUAAAAGGCAGAAUGUAAGAUAUAAAAUUUGAUAAUCUUUUUGUUGAAUGAGUCAUGAAAUAUGAGGUUAUCAUUGAUUGGAUGAAAAUACCGUCACUAGAUCAAUGGAAGAUGCUUUUGCACCAAGGCAUAAACCAGUUGACAUUCCGCCACAACCAGAGUAAAGAUCUAGUAGUGUGAGUUCUGCCUGGUAAGUUCCAAAACUAGGAAUAUUAGCUGAAAAGGCAGGAGUCGAAGGGAAAACUUCCUUGCAGCAAUUUGAAGAACUGUAGCUCUUGAAAGAAUUAUCUGAAUAUAUAUUUAUAUGUAUAAAGACAGAUAUAUUAGCACUAUUAUUAAUUUAUCAGAAUAUUUAACCUUUCACUUACCAGGUUAUGUUUCCAUGAUCACCAUCCCUCUCCUCUCUUAGGGUACACAAAUAGAGUUAAUACAGCAGUUAAACUCCAUUAUCAGCACAAAAAGAAGCUUACCAGGUGGCAAGUUGCGGAAUGUUGAAUAAUCCACACAAUACUCCAUGUCAAAAUAGAAAUCAGAUCGGGGAAGAGAAUUUGAUUUUAAACCUAACUGCAACAAGUUAUAAAAGAACAAAGAAUACAUAAAUUCAAAUUUUCCAACAACAGAAUUCUGAGAAUAUCAAAUGAAGUAGACAAAAUAUAAAUAUAUAUAUAAAAGCUAUUCAUAAACAGUUAGAAUAGUAAAAAGGCAAAAAACAGGAGUAAAUUAAGAUCACAAGAAGCUUACCUUAGGUGAUAUUUGAGUAACACUAACUUUUGAAAUAAUGCAAUCUAUGGGAUUAUCAUUCAUUACAGUUGAAUAAAAUACACGUCUUUCAUCAUGAAAAGCAGCCUCUUGUUUCAUAACCUUUGCAUGAUGUGCAGAACAGAAGCAACAAAGGUCAGGAUAAGAAAUAGUGCAUGAUCUAAAAGAAAUCUUAAUUUCUGUACUUACUGUAUCUUCAGCUCUAUAAAACCACUGGACUCUAAAAUAAUUUUCUCCAUCUGUUGUUUUAAAAAAUUCUAAUAUCUUGCCAAUGUGGUGUUUUGCUUCUUCACCCUGCAAAAAAUCCUUAUCCCAUGAGAAUUUGCUUGCUUCAAUUGCCAUAUUAUUGAAAUUUAGAACUGCCAUAGGCAGACAAGAAGAAAAGGAUUAGAAGAGAGACCACGUAAACUUGAUUUGCCCAACAUUAAUUAAGAGAACCUAAAUGUAUAUAUACAAAUUUUAAAACACACCAUGUGUUGAUCACAUUUACCUUAAUAUAAACACAAUCCCCAAGAUUUAUGGUACAUCCAUCAAUUUCAGCUUGAGCAUAAUGGCAUUCCACAUUCCAAACUACCUUGUCUUCAUCAUCAUCAUCAUCAUCACUAUCACAUUAGGAACAGGGGUUAUAAGCCCAAGAAAGAAGAUGAAGAUAAAAAGGUUAAUAGCAAUUUUGAGAUAAAAGCUAAAUCAAGAUAACUAAAACACUAAGCAGGCAGAGCUCAUAAGAGGUUACUUACUCCGAUGAGAUGAGUUUUCUGUUAGAUUUUGUAUUCUGCAAAGUACAAGAUAUUCACAAUCAGCAUUGAAAAAUACUAGUGCACUCAAAUUACUAAUAUUCCAGCUCAUCCCCAAACCAUUCUCUUUAAAAAUUAAAACCAAGUGCUAUGAACACUAUAGCAGCAAACUACAUGCACUAUAGUCCAGACUCCAAAGGAGCAAAAGCUAGAUGCAUAGUUACUUACCGAUGUAUCAAUGUUGAAUACUAAAGAUGCUUUAAUGCAUGCCAGAUAAUGCUCAAACAAGAUAAAGGGAUAUCAGAAUGGACAGAAAAGGAAAGAGAGGCAAAAUAAAGUAAAAACUUAUGGUCACUGCUUCAAUCAGCCUAAUCAAUCAAAGAAAUAGCAUUUGACGGUGUAAUUCAUAUCAACCACCUUCAUUUCAUAUCGCCAACGCCACCUUUCUUGAGCUUCGUCAUCCAGGAUUGGAUUGCCUAUAAAUAUAACAUCAGUCUUGGAUUGGCUCUUCUUCUUUCCUGAAAGAGACGAGCCCUUGGCCUUCUUUGAGAAUGUUUCAUCUGAGGUUCCCAUAUCUGAUUCUGCUGAUGAGAUCUUAAAUUUCUUGGAAGGCUGUUCAUCACAUGAAUUGGAUAAUCUAUUGGAAGAAGAGUUUACUUCAGCACUAUCACCUUCAGCCAAUAAUGUAGAAAGUGAGGAAGGUGUUUUCAACUG